rnacentral:rRNA from 1 species
UACGUAGGGUGCGAGCGUUGUCCGGAAUUAUUGGGCGUAAAGAGCUCGUAGGCGGUGUGUCACGUCGGCCGUGAAAACCUGCAGCUUAACUGUGGGCGUGCGGUCGAUACGGGCAUCACUGGAGUUCGGCAGGGGAGACGUGGAAUUCCUGGUGUAGCGGUGAAAUGCGCAGAUAUCAGGAGGAACACCGGUGGCGAAGGCGGGUCUCUGGGCCGAUACUGACGCUGAGGAGCGAAAGCGUGGGGAGCAAACAGG